rnacentral:RNase_P_RNA from 1 species
AGUCGGCCAGGCAGUCGCGCUUGCGAGCACGGCGUCGUCGCGCUCGGAGGGGAGGAAAGUCCGGGCUCCACAGGGCAGGGUGCCAGGUAACGCCUGGGGGGCGCGAGCCCACGGAAAGUGCCACAGAAAACGAACCGCCGAGCCUGCCUGCGGGCAGGUGGCAAGGGUGAAAAGGUGCGGUAAGAGCGCACCGCGCCGGUGGCAACACGCGGCGGCACGGUAAACCCCACCCGGAGCAAGACCAAAUAGGGGAGCGUACGGCCCGGUCUCAGCAUCGAAGCCGUGACCUGCGGCCCGCAGGGGCUCCCGGGUAGGUCGCAAGAGGCGUACGGUGACGUGCGUCCCAGAUGAAUGACUGUCCACGACAGAACCCGGCUUAUCGGCCGGCUCCC